CUACACAUAUAUUUGCUGCAACUCGAUUGCUUCUUGGCCCUACUUUGACAACACCCACCCUUCUGAGGUUCUCCCACCGUUGGAUCGGUUCCAAAUCUACGGUGAUGGCACCGUCAAAGGUAUGAUACACACGCACACAUUUUGUUGGUGAAUUUGCAGCAUUCCAUUAAUUAGGGGUACACGUGUUUUCUUCUAAUGUCAUUCAAGCUUAAAGCAAUGCCAGCUAAAAAGGACAGAUAUUCGUAGGACUCACUUUUGCUUAUAUUAAAAAAUACGUAUUAUUUGAUCCAAAAGAAAUAAAUAAUUUAUUAGCAAUAAUAAAAGUCAUCAAGCAAUUAUUUCUCCAUUAUUUUUACUACCGAAAGUGGAAUGAUUCUUAGAGUAAACACUUUACAACCACCGCAAUUAUAAUGUGAACCAAGUUCUUUCACCAACUAAAGUCUAAGUAGUUUACUUUAGGGAAAUAAUAUCUACAAUUGAUUAAUUAUAAUUGAAAAGAUAACUAUUACGAGCUCGUUUGAAAGUAUUUUUAAAAUGAUUGAUAACACUUUUAAAGAAAUAUUUUGGAUUCUAAAAUCACUUAAAAUGCUUCCUUAAGUGAUUAUUUAAGGUGCUUCCCUAAUUUCAAUCAUUUUAUAAAUUCUUCCAAACAAAUCUUAUAUUCAUUAAGAUAAAAACAAAAAAUGUUAUUUUAAGUCAUUGCAGGUAGCCAAUGGUGAGCAUGUACAAGAUGAAAGAGAAAUUUUAGAAAGUGAUACUUAUCCUAGUUGAUGAGGACAUUUAUUUUUAUUAACCUUAAUUGAAGAAAUGAAUCAUUUUUAUUGAUAUAUGUUAAAAAAAAUGAAAUGACCAUGUACCUACAACAAAUAUAAAAUUAUGUACGACCUGAACCAAUUUUUUUUAUAAAAAACCUAAAAUAUUAUAUGAUUAGGUGUAAGUCACUAUUAUAAUAAGUAUAAAAUACCUCUUGAAAUAAAUAAAAGUUAAUAACAGUUAGAUUGAGGAUAGUUUAUUAACGAACGGACUGUUUUUUCUUUUGUCCUGAUUUGGUGGCAAGAAAACCUUGAGAUGUGUUAUCCACGCUCUUUUUUAUUUUUUAUUCACUUUUUAUUAAUUUCAGUCAUUUGAUCUUCUUCAAUUCAUCCGAUGAUAAAAAAACUUAGAAAGGUGUGUGAAAAGUAAAAAUGGUGUAUGGAUAGCACAUCCCUACUAAAAAAUUGGAAGCAUUUAUGCUCAUCCUAUAACUAUGGGGUAUGCUCUUCAUACAUCUUAUUAUCUGCCAUGUGUACUUUUACUUAACCCUAAUUAUUUUUUUUCCACAUUGAAAAUGAUCUUUUAAUAUGCAAGUUAACCAAAAUUAGAUGAAAGGAUACAAGGCAGAUGAUAAGGUAUAUAGUGAGUAUACAACAUAAUUUAUAGUGGUGCGCAAAAAUGCAUCCCAAAAAAAGAUAAAAUCUCCUAAUUUGAAGGGAGUAUGAUUCUUUUUCCUCCUCAUCUUUCUCCUCUUUUAUUCCUUCCCCUCCUAUUUAAACGGUUAGGAUUAAAGCACACUGAAAUUUAUGGAGAGAAAAAGACGAAAAAAAAGUGUGAGAUGAGGGAAGUAAGAGAUAGAAAAUACAUGUUACAUAAACGGUUAGGAUUUAGCCCAACUUAUGUUUUUGCAAGGGGCUUUUCUCAUAGUGCACAUGUUACUUACAUAUCUAAAUAACAACCGUUAAAUUUAUAUGAACGAACGAGACAAAACUUUACCUUAAGUUACAACCGGGAUACCAAACCUUGAAGUACAGAAUCCGGUAGUUCUCUAUCUUCUCGCUCCGGGCGUCUGUCUCUCUCCUCCCUUCCCUUAGCCAAAACCUCAGUUCCUGUCUAGACCUAGAGCACUGCUGCCAUCACCAACAACUCUUUUGAAUUAGAUGAUGGGUUAAGUGUUUGUGUUGAUAAUUUUGGAGGGAAAUAGAACUUGGUGGAGGUCCUGGGGAGGAGUGGCUUUGGGUGGCUUGAGGGUUUUUGAUAGGUGGAGAGUUGAGUGGUUAACGGAGGCACAGUCGCCAACGGAUUAUAAUCUUUCGGCGGAGGUGUUUGGCCAACGGUGGGGAGAGGUAGGGGAGGUGACCAGGAGAAAGAGGAAGAGGUGGCAACUUUCGGCGCCCGUUCGUUAAGGUUGAUCGGUGGGUUAGAAGUAAAUGGGUAAAUAAAAUGUGCAUGUAGACGUGUGCACUGGGGAAGCAGCCUUUCGGCGAGUUGGAUGGAUGGGCGAAAACAUGGAAUUUUGAAUAUUCUAAGCCGUCCACGUGUAGGGUAGUCCUUUCUCCUCGGCACCGAACUUGUCUGUUGCUGUUAGGCCGUGCCCAACCUCCAGCCCAAAGCUGGGGCCCACUUUAUUCAUCCUCGCUCACCGCAAGUCUGCAACCUAAAGUGGGGCCCACUUUAGUCGGUCCCACAGUUCAUAUACUGUUCAAUAAUAAUAAUAAUAAUAUUAUUAUUAUUAUUUUAUUUUCGGAAGAUUCAAUGUUUCUGUAUCCACUAGUGAAUGUGGGAAAAUGUGUUUGAUGGUAUGUCUGAUGCACCUGCCAUUAAUUACUAAGGUACGAAAGAGAUACCUGCGCAUAUUUUUUGGUAUUUUACUAAUAUUACAACAUACACGUAAGCAUUUUUGUAGUAUUCAAGCUUUCAGCUCGACUUUUGAUGUUAUAUUUUUACUAUGUUACACAAAAUUUACAGC
rnacentral:lncRNA from 1 species